AUUUUACUUAUCUUAAAAGUCUUAAUUUUAUUAAAAUAUCUUAUUCAAUGUUAUCUAAGUAGAUCGAGUAGGUAAAUUUGAAAAUAUUGGGGGGAAUAUUCUUAGUAAAUAAUUUUUGAAUUCAAGUGGUCUAAUUUCUUUAUUAUAUAAAGUCACACCAACAGUUCACAUCACUGUACAAUAUAAUUCACAAACAUGAAGACUUCCAUUGUUUUAGCUAUUUUAGCUUGCGUCGGUUUAACCGUCAGCGCUCCCCCAAAGAACGAGUAAGUAACAGCGAAAAUUUUUUUUUUUUUUAUAAAAUUAUGUUGAGCUGAUAAGGGUUUUUAAUCAGGAUAUCGAUAAGACUUUAAAGUCUUCGAUAAGACUUCAUAUUUUUUUUUUUUAAUUUUAUCUGAUGGCAACACUCGUCUGCAAAAGUUUAUUAAUUGAUUAGAUUAAUUAUAAAUAAUAUCUAAUAUUCAAAAGAUAGCACAUCAAUAAUACUUACCUCUUACCUAACAUCAUUUAGUGCUCAAGGGCACAUUUCAAAAUGUGUCAGUUGACUAUAAAUUUUUAUAAUUAGUAAUUGUGAGGUGGUGCCUAAAGGUCGUUAUAUCCCCUUUGAAUGUUGUGUUGGUUAAAGGCCAAUAAUGCUUUUCUUCUACUGUUUUAACUAUGUAUAUACCCAUAUUCAUUUUUAAAUAUAUCGAGUUUCAUAAAUGUUUGUA
rnacentral:lncRNA from 1 species